rnacentral:rRNA from 1 species
AGCCCGUAGGCGGUUUGUCGCGUCUGCUGUGAAAACUCGAGGCUCAACCUCGGGCCUGCAGUGGGUACGGGCAGACUAGAGUGUAGUAGGGGGGACUGGAACUCCUGGUGUAGCGGUGAAAUGCGCAGAUAUCAGGAAGAACACCGAUGGCGAAGGCAGGUCUCUGGGCUAUAACUGACGCUGAGGAGCGAAAGCAUGGGGAGCGAACGGGAUUAGAUACCCUGGUAGUCCAUGCCGUAAACGUUGGGCACUAGGUGUGGGGAUCUUCCACGAUUUCCGCGCCGCAGCUAACGCAUUAAGUGCCCCGCCUGGGGAGUACGGCCGCAAGGCUAAAACUCAAAGGAAUUGACGGGGGCCCGCACAAGCGGCGGAGCAUGCGGAUUAAUUCGAUGCAACGCGAAGAACCUUACCAAGACUUGACAUAUAGUGAAAACUCAUAGAGAUAUGAGGUCCUUUUAGGGCGCUAUACAGGUGGUGCAUGGUUGUCGUCAGCUCGUGUCGUGAGAUGUUGGGUUAAGUCCCGCAACGAGCGCAACCCUCGUUCUAUGUUGCCAGCACGUUAUGGUGGGGACUCAUAGGAGACUGCCGGGGUCAACUCGGAGGAAGGUGGGGAUGACGUCAAAUCAUCAUGCCCCUUAUGUCCAGGGCUUCACACAUGCUACAAUGGCCAGUACAGAGGGCUGCGAAGCCGUAAGGUGGAGCGAAUCCCUUAAAGCUGGUCUCAGUUCGGAUUGGGGUCUGCAACUCGACCCCAUGAAGUCGGAGUCGCUAGUAAUCGCAGAUCAGCAACGCUGCGGUGAAUACGUUCCCGGGCCUUGCACUCACCGCCCGUC